rnacentral:rRNA from 1 species
UGACCGGUGGAUAAAGGUUGAGGGAAUGUGGCACCCUCGGGUGUGUUAUAGCCCUUGAUUGUAUGCAUCGGUUGGGACUGAGGCUUCACACCGCAAGGUGUUGGAUGUUGGCAUAAUGGCUUUAAUCGACCCGUCUUGAAACACGGACCAAGGAGUCUAACAUGCUUGCGAGUAUUUGGGUGGAAAACCCAUAUGCGCAAUGAAAGUGAAAGUUGAGAACUCGUUAGAGUGCAUCGACGCCCAUACCUGACGUUUUACUGACGGAUAUGCGGUAGAGCAAGUAUGUUGGGACCCGAAAGAUGGUGAACUAUGCCUGAAUAGGGUGAAGCCAGAGGAAACUCUGGUGGAGGCUCGUAGCGAUUCUGACGUGCAAAUCGAUCGUCAAAUUUGGGUAUAGGGGCG